rnacentral:rRNA from 1 species
GAUGAGCGCUGGCGGCGUGCCUAAUACAUGCAAGUCGAGCGAACAGACGAGGAGCUUGCUCCUCUGACGUUAGCGGCGGACGGGUGAGUAACACGUGGAUAACCUACCUAUAAGACUGGGAUAACUUCGGGAAACCGGAGCUAAUACCGGAUAAUAUAUUGAACCGCAUGGUUCAAUAGUGAAAGACGGUUUUGCUGUCACUUAUAGAUGGAUCCGCGCCGCAUUAGCUAGUUGGUAAGGUAACGGCUUACCAAGGCAACGAUGCGUAGCCGACCUGAGAGGGUGAUCGGCCACACUGGAACUGAGACACGGUCCAGACUCCUACGGGAGGCAGCAGUAGGGAAUCUUCCGCAAUGGGCGAAAGCCUGACGGAGCAACGCCGCGUGAGUGAUGAAGGUCUUCGGAUCGUAAAACUCUGUUAUUAGGGAAGAACAAAUGUGUAAGUAACUAUGCACGUCUUGACGGUACCCAAUCAGAAAGCCACGGCUAACUACGUG